AAAAUUUUAAUGGUCGAACAGACCAAAAAUAUAAUGCGACUUCACAAAAAUUUAAUUUUAAUCCAACAUCGAGGUCAUAAUCUUUAAAUUCAAUAACAUCUUAAAAUUAAAAUUAUG
rnacentral:rRNA from 1 species